rnacentral:lncRNA from 1 species
GUAACCUUAGCCGAAUUCUUACGCAGCUGUCUCUUAAAAAUGCUUCUUGAUUGUUUGCAGGUUGUGCCGACAUCCUGAUUUGACAAUCUGCAUUCAUUCAGCUGGGCUAAUAAACCAAUUUAAUUGGGUCCCUUUUUCAGUAGAGAUGACGCCAAUUUUUGCUUGGGGCUUAGGGGAAGGACACUCUGACUGACCGAUUAUUUGCCGUGUGCCAGGCGUAAGUGGAGAGAUGCAUUUCUGUACGUGAGACAUUUAAGACUCAUACUGCUUCUGUGGGCUUUGUAGCAUCCUCCUAUUUUAAAUGUGAAAAAACAAACUCAAACAGGUGAACUUGGUCUAGGUCACACAGCUAAGAAAGAUGGAAGAGCAAAGAGUCCACUCAGAGCUGUCAACUUGGUUUGGACAGAGGGGUGUAUUACAUUGUUUGAUUUUACCAUUCGGAUGAUAUGGGCAGGCCAGUGAGUUUAAAGGGGUGGGGAGCUCAGAGCAGGGAGGUCCUUGGAGAUGCUUUUGCAAAAUGUCUUUUGGUGAGGACAUCACAUCACAACAAAUGAACAAAGAAACACAGUGGCCAGAGGAGCCUUGGUGACUCCCCAGGGAAACCGAUUCUCGGGGAGGCCGAUUCCAGGCAGGUCUGCACCUGGGGCUCAAUGAAAGCAGCAGUUAGCUAUUAGGCCACCUGAAAAGAGGGAAUUGGAGGGCAGACAGAUGUUUUCAAUGCAUGAGUAAAUGCGAAGACACUGGCGCGAGAAGCAGAGAGCUGAAGGCAGAAGUCUCAGGGGCUGAAUGGAGCUGUGUCCGCUGGAGGUCUUCAGAUUUCAGGUACUUACUGAGGCAAGCGGGAUAGUGCUACCAUCUUGAUCCGAACACAGAGCACACUUUUGGAGCUCGUCUUUGGAAAUGGUCUUGGGAGACUUGCUCCAUUCCUUUGCAUGCCAUCACUGGUGAGUCUUCAUUCUUGAAGGAUGUAUUUGAUUUGAAGAAGGGCCAAAUUUAAUAAGAACCUCAAUCUAGAAUGAUACGUGAUUUGGCAGAGAAUUAUUGUUUUGGGUAGAAAUAAUUAUAAAACCUUUUUUCUCUUCUAACAUUUUUCUGACUGACAUCACAAAGUCUACGAUUUUGAGUUUUGGAAACAUUUGGAGAAAUAAUGAAAGGCAUUCCUAAAGAACUUCAUGCUGAAUGCCAUUUGGACAAUCUAAACUCAGUCCUGAAUUUGGAGUAUCAAUAUCAUCUAUUCAGGGACUAUUAAAAACAUGGUAUUUCAAGCCAAUAAAAUAGAAUACUAACAUUAGUGCAAUACUUUUGACUUUUCAGAGGGCCCUUGGAGCUCAUGUUUAGUGGUUACCAAGUUCCAAUGAAGCAAUAUUUGAUCACAAAGAUGUUUAACCCCUUUGGAUAUAAAGAAAGCCGCUUAAACUGAUGUUUAAUCCUCUGACUGGAUGA